AUAAUCGGAAUAAUAAUAAAUCUGAGCAAUGUAAACGGCACGUUUCGAAAAUCAUUCUCCGAUGAUUCUGCGUCCAGAAAGAACUCACUCAACAAAUGCAUAUAAUCAGGAUGUGUUUCUUCCAGAUGGAUACCGUGUCGUAAUUCAGCUUGAUGCUAACGUUUCACAAAAAUUACAGCUUGCAUCAUCAGGGCUAGGAGCUCCGAUACUACAGUAUCAGUACUGAUUGUAUCAAUGGCCGUGAAAGUUUAAAAAUUAGAAUUGCGUAUAAGUUUUACUCUUACCAUAACGGAUCACCGCGCGUCAGUUCAUGAUUGGUGACUCGCGAUGGUUACUUCAUGUAUUUCCCUUGUGAAGAAAGCAUUCAAACUUUAUUUAUAGCUGAUUCGACGUGACCUUUUCUGUUUGUCUGAUAUAUUUCGCUUUCGGAUAUUGUCAAUAUCAUAAGUAAAAUGUUUUCAACAGUCGUUUGUCAGACAUACAGAAUACACAUCGAAACUUGUCUCUUUGAAACGUAUCAGUAAUUAGUCGAAUUACGAAGAAAGUUAGGCGGUGUGAUUAUGUAAACAGAUUAUUGCGUCGAGCAAGUUGUAAAAGAGUAAAAUCUCGAUUAGGAGAAAAACGAUAGAAAGAAACCGGAACCUUUGAAGAGCGAUCUGUGCGGCAAACACUCCAGCAGAAAGAACAGCAAAAACGUAUAAGGAAAGUGACACCAGUAACGAAAGCUUUCACCUGAAACAAGAGUUGAAGCACCAUCUCGAAGAAGUUCACGGAUAUAUCAUGCACAAAUGCGACUUUUGCAUCUAUGCAUCUAAUAGUGAAAGAGCACAUUAUACGAUUGCAUACGGACAAUUACGACCAUAUAUGUCCCGAGCAAAACUGUGACCGGGAGUAUAAUUGGCAGACGGAUCUGAAUAGACACAUACGAUAUGUUCAUUCUAACAAAUAAGUAAAAAAGUAGUAUUAUUGAUCCGGAACUGUCUUUGGAGAGUAAUCCGUACGGCAAAAUCCCAAUAGAAGGAGCAGCAUUAAAAAGUGCACAAAAGUUCCUAAUUAAUGCGACAUUUGCAACCAAAGAUUCCACAAAAAACAUGAGUUAAUACAUCACUAUAAAGAGGUCUACAAAUGUUGCAUAUACAAAUUUAACCAUUGCAACUACGAAACCAACGAGAAGAUAUUGAAAAGGCAUAUAAGAAAACACACGAAUAAUUACGACUACGUAUGUACUGAGCUCGGCUGUAACAAGAAAUAUAAAUUUCAGGAAGGUAUAUAUAUAGAGAAGUCUGAAGUGUAUAUAUAUAGAGUUAUCAUCAUAAGAAUAAGAAGAAAAACAAUAAUGUGGACUCGAGUCUUUUCUCGGAGAGUAAUCCAUGCAGCGAACUUUCCAACAAAAGGAGCAGCAUUGAAAAGUGCAUAAGUGUUUCUAAACAAUGUGAAAUCUAAUCAAAUUUUCUAUAGAAAGGAAGAGUUGAUACAUCAUAUAAUGCAGGUUCACUAACGUUGCGUACACAAAUGCAACCAUUGCCACUACGAAACCAACGUAAAAUGCAAUUUGCAAAAGCACUUUAUAAUAAGGCAUAUGGAUAUUAAGGAUUACAUUAAGACUGGCUGUAAUUGUGUGGAAAAAAGUCAGAAAAAGCUGAGGCAACACGUAUGACAUGUCCACUCUAACAAAUAAAAGGAAAGCAAUAUUAAGGAUCCAGAACCGUCCACGAUGAAUACCCGCGUAAUCAUUCUAGAACAAGAAGCAGCAUUAAAGAGCUAAUGAGUAUGCCUUUUCGAUACACAACGAAAUCUGCAACGAAAGAUUCCUUCCUAGACAAAAGUGGAAAAAUCUAAAUGUAAGCUCAUGGAUAUUCCAUGUGCAACUGCAGCCGUUGUAACUACGUAUUCAACAAAAAGAAUAAUUUGUGAAGUUACAUUGCACGGAAUUACAUAGACAAUUAUGACUAUGUGUAUACUGAGCCUGUCUAUAACAGGAAGUAUAAAUAGUAGGCGGAUCUGGAGAUACACAUACAACGUCCUAACAACCAAAAGAAAAGCAAAAGUGCAGACCAGGGCAGUCUUCGGAAGGUGACCUGUGCGGCAAACAUUCCAAAAGACGGAGCAACAUUGAAAAGCGCAUAAGUAUGCCUCAACUACGCAAAAUCUGCAACCAAGGUUUCGAUAGGAAAAAAAGAAUUGAAGCAUCACCUCUGAAAUGAUCACGGAUCAUCGUAUGUGCAACUGCAACAAUUAUAAUUACAUAUCUAACAGGAAACAGCACUUGAAGUAUCGCGUUGCGUGAAAACACAUGGAAUUACGACUACGUGUGUAAUAAGGAAAGUUGCUACAAAAAAUUCAAACUCGAACAGGAACUGAAGAAAUGGGUAAAAUAUGAUCUUUCCAAUGAUUCCUACCAAUGUUGAAAAUAUGCUCAAAUAUACGCUGAGACGAUAAUUGCUUAUCCUGUCUGCAAUAAGAUAUUUAGUAGGAAGAAUAAUAUGCUGAAUUCAUCCAUUAUACCACGCGGACCAGAAACUCUAUAUCUGCAAGAUUUAUGGCACGAUGUUUAUCCAUCGGCAAUUUUUAUAUAAUUAUGGAGAAAGAAUAUUCCCACUUAAUUCCUCUCGAAUAAAGUACGCGUGCAUGUGUGUACACAUGCAUGCUCGCACCCAAUUUGUUGUAUGGAAUAAGACCGGUACAUAGAGAAAAAUUUGAGAACAACUAUAUGACGUAUGUUGGAGAUGUGUAUUUCGCUUACAUAAUGAGCUGAACGUAACAUUAAAAUUUUAUUUUUACAUAAUAAGAUAGAAAAAU
rnacentral:lncRNA from 1 species